rnacentral:rRNA from 1 species
UAGAGUUUGAUCCUGGCUCAGGACAAACGUUGGCGGUGCGUCUUAGACAUGCAAGUCGAGCGUGAAAGCCCGCAAGGGUGAGUAAAGCGGCGAACGGGUGAGUAAUACUUGGGUAACGUUCCUCCGAGAUUGGGAUAACACACCGAAAGGUGUGCUAAUACCAAAUAAGACCACGGGUUCUUCGGAACCUGAGGUCAAAGAUGGCCUCUAUUUAUAAGCUAUCACUUGGAGAUCGGCUCAAGCACCAUUAGCUAGUUGGUGGGGUAAUGGCCCACCAAGGCUACGAUGGUUAGCCGGCCUGAGAGGGUGACCGGCCACACUGGAACUGAGAUACGGUCCAGACUCCUACGGGAGGCAGCAGUUUGGGAUAUUCCACAAUGGGCGCAAGCCUGAUGGAGCGACACCGCGUGAAGGAUGAAGGUCUUCGGAUUGUAAACUUCUUUAGACGCAGAUGAAGAUUUCGGGGUGGAUAAUCCUGAAAUUUGACAGUACGCGUAGAAUAAGCCACGGCUAACUCUGUGCCAGCAGCCGCGGUAAUACAGAGGUGGCAAACGUUGUCCGGAUUUAUUGGGUGUAAAGGGCAUGUAGGUGGUUUUGUAAGUCAAAGGUGAAAUGGCCCGGCUCAACCAGGUCAUUGCCUUUGAAACUGCAGAACUUGAGUACGGAAGAGGAGAGCGGAAUUCCCAGUGUAGCGGUGAAAUGCGUAGAUAUUGGGAGGAACACCGGUGGCGAAAGCGGCUCUCUGGUCCGAAACUGACACUGAGAUGCGAAAGCCAGGGGAGCAAACGGGAUUAGAUACCCCGGUAGUCCUGGCCGUAAACGAUGAGAACUAGGUGUUAGAGGUAUCCACUCCUCUAGUGCCGCAGCUAACGCAUUAAGUUCUCCACCUGGGGACUACGACCGCAAGGUUGAAACUCAAAGAAAUUGACGGGGGCCCGCACAAGCAGUGGAGCAUGUGGUUCAAUUCGACGCAACGCGAAGAACCUUACCUGGGUUUGACAUCCUCUGACCGCCUAUGAAAGUAGGUUUCCUCGCAAGAGGCAGAGAGACAGGUGCUGCAUGGCUGUCGUCAGCUCGUGUCGUGAGAUGUUGGGUUAAGUCCCGCAACGAGCGCAACCCUUAUCUUUAGUUGCCAUCGGGUUAUGCUGGGCACUCUAAAGAGACUGCCGGUGACAAACCGGAGGAAGGCGGGGAUGACGUCAAGUCCUCAUGGCCUUUAUAUCCAGGGCUACACACGUGCUACAAUGGUCGGUACAAAGGGUUGCGAACCCGCGAGGGGGAGCCAAUCCCAAAAAGCCGGCCUCAGUUCAGAUUGGAGUCUGCAACUCGACUCCAUGAAGCUGGAAUUGCUAGUAAUCGCGGAUCAGAACGCCGCGGUGAAUACGUUCCCGGGCCUUGUACACACCGCCCGUCAAGUCACGAAAGCCAGUUGCACCAGAAGCGAUUGCGCUAACCCGCAAGGGGGGCAGAUUGCGAAGGUAUGACUGGUGAUUGGGACUAAGUCGUAACAAGGUAGCCGUAUCGGAAGGUGCGGCUGGAUCACCUCCUUA